rnacentral:lncRNA from 1 species
GUUUCAUCCAAAUUGAUUAAUAAUAUACAAGUUUCCCACUGCUAUCAAAAUCAUCCCGCCCAAUUUUUUCAAUCUUUCUCAAAAACCUAAAUCCCGCUAAUCCUCAAACCUAGUAACCUACAUUGAGCAUCUGCCCUCAAACAUAACGCACUUUGUCUGGCUAUCAAAAACACCCAACAAUAAGCAUCAUGACCUACAAAUUCAACAGUUCGAGAUAUUUGGCCAUGGAUUUGCUCUAGCGGUGGUGCUGCUCCAUCGAUAACAAUAUUAAUCAACAGCAAUCUUUGGUUAUUGCGGCAAGCUAAUUGUGAUGAAGAAUAUACAGGUGCUAUAAUAAAUUCAUCUUAUGGUGGCCAGGUUUGUUCGUGUAUGAUAAGUGUCACAUAUGUCUUUGGUUUCUGCCCAUAGUGAUGCGUGGCUAUUUUAUGUCGGAUUUUAAUUUGGCGCCAAAGUUGGUUCUUAACGCCAAACAAUCUUUGAGGAACGGCGCUGCGGGAACGAAGCGCUUGGAGCCUUGGGAACUUUAGCAAAACUAGGGCUUUCAAUUGGUGGUGGAACGCCGAACGCCUGAGUCUCAUGGAGGAAUGCAACGUUGGCCAUGGAAAAGAUGAAUCAACCAAGGGCUUUGGAAACCAACUAAGAUAAAACACUGGUUUGAUUAUAUAUAUAUAUGUUAAGGUUUUUGAUUUAUUUUAUAGUAAAUACGAUGCAGUUGUAUAUGUUUUAUAUGGCAUGCAUGUUUUCUCUAGUCUUUCAUGUAAGUUAGUUGAUUUUGCUAUUUGUGGGUUAGAAUUAGAAUCAGGACCGUAGCUACAUAGAAGGGUAUGGGUUCGGCCAAACCCGUACCAAAAAAUUUGUUAGUGUUAUAUAUAGGUGUAUUUUGACAUCGCACCUGUAGAAAUUUCGCCAUCAAACCCGUAGAAUUCUUUAAGUCUGGAAAAUUUCCAAACCCGUAGGAAAAUUUUUUUUGGCUACGCCCCUGAUUAGAAUCAAUGCUUAUUUCUUUUCAUUGUUCUAUUAAAUUUGUUCUUAAAUUUUCCAGUUUCUGUCACUAUUAAUAGCAUAAAUUUUUUGUAGGAAAGAAAGUAUUUUUCGUUGCUUGGGGUUUGGAUACUGCUUAAAAAUCAUAUGAAUUAGAGGUUAAAUCUAGAUGGUGACAAACCUUCUGCUACAAUGUAAAUGAAACUUAAAAUUUUACGUAUUAUGUAAUUGUAUAGAUUGCACAACUUUUUAUACCUUGGUUCCUUUUCUUGAAUUAGUGGUAAAUUUGUCGUUUUAGUUGCAUGAAUCUGGUUUUUGGUUUUACUGAUACCAUACCAACUCAAACUAAAUAUAUGUAUAUAAGUUUGGACGUUUUAGCGGAUUUUUUUUUUUUUUUGCAGGUAUGCAACAGCUAGUGGACGCUCGGAUGGUCUGUUUUACUAUGUGGUGGAAGAGUCGCCUCUGGCGCGAUAUGAAGUUAUGCUCUAAGAUAUCAACUACUUGCUCUAACUACCAAUAAGCGGUACUGAAAAAGCCACACAAUCUUUGGUUGAAUAGCUUAAACCAACGUUAAAAAAGGUUGAAUACAAUGAGUUGGUUGAUGUCGCACCAGUAAGUGCAGGAAGAAAUAUGAUGUGGGAAUAUGAUUGCUAAGAGAGAAUUAACAUGGGGAUCAUUACACAUGAAGAUUGCAAAAAAGGUUCAUGAAGGCAAUGAAGUCUUGAGUUUUUAUUAUAACAUUUGUUAGUUUUAUUCAAACACUAGAGUUAGUUUGCUACUUAUUAGACAUUAGUUUGUAAACGUUUGAAUGUUCGGAAGACGAUCUAACUUUUAUUUGAACUAAUGAUGUUAUGAUU